rnacentral:rRNA from 1 species
UACGUAGGUGACGAGCGUUAUCCGGAAUUACUGGGCGUAAAGCGCACGCAAGCGGUCUAACAAGUCUGGCGUGAAAUCCUCUGGCUUAACCAGGGGCGGUCGCUGGAGACUGUUAAACUUGAGGCGAUGAGAGGGGUGCAGAAUUCCCGGUGUAGUGGUGGAAUGCGUAGAUAUCGGGAGGAACACCAGUGGCGAAGGCGGCACUCUGGGCCGGAACUGACGCUGAGGAGCGAAAGCGUGGGGAGCGAACAGG